rnacentral:rRNA from 1 species
UACGUAGGGGGCGAGCGUUGUCCGGAUUUACCGGGCGUAAAGCGCGUGCAGGCGGCCUUGCAAGUCGGACGUGAAAUCCCACGGCUCAACCGUGGAAGUGCAUUCGAAACUGCGAGGCUAGAGUCCUGGAGAGGAAAGUGGAAUACUCGGUGUAGAGGUGAAAUUCGUAGAUAUCGAGUGGAACACCGGUGGCGAAGGCGGCUUUCUGGACAGGUACUGACGCUGAGACGCGAAAGCGUGGGGAGCAAACAGG